CCUGGAGAAGGCGGGGUUUCCGGCUCCGCCCGAAUAUGCCCAGGAGACAGCGAAGCUGAAGGUGCUGGAGGUGGCAUCGUGGCUGCACAGGGACCUGCACCCGCCUGAUGUCAUUAUUGGAGCCUAUACCGUCCUGGUGAGUGAGGCCCUGCCCCUCACUGACCCGGCCCCUUGGCGUCUGGCCCCGCCCACUGUAGGCCAUGGAUGGCUUCAUCCUGGAGAAGCCAAAGGACAAGGACGAUGCCUACAGGAUGCUGCGCAGGUGGGCGGGGCCUUAAGGGGCGGGGUAGACCCCCCAAGGCAUAGUGGGCGGGGCCUCUUCAUGGAGCUCCAGCCUCUGCCCACCCCAGCCCUGCCCCUUGCCAACCACGCCCUGUCCCGCCUUCCCUGGCCCCGCCCAGGCUGAGUGGCCAGCAGCACAGUGUCAUCACCGGUGUGGCCAUCUUGAGGCCACUGUGGCAGAGGCAGCUUCAGGAGCCGAGUUCCACAUGCCCAGAGGCCCCAGAGGCGGAAGGGGACCCAGAAGCAGAAGUGGAAUUGUCACUGUUCCACGAAGAGACCCGUGUGACAUUCUCGCGGCUAUCGGAGCCACUGCUCUGCCAAUACGUGGAGAGCAGGGAGCCUCUGGACAAGGCUGGCGCCUAUGGGCUUCAGGCGCGAGGCGGUGCCCUAGCAGAGCGCGUGGAAGGGGAUUUCUUCAAUACUGUGGGGUUUCCACUCAACCGCUGCAUGCGUGAGCUGGCUGCCAUCUUCCCGGAUGUGGGACCACACGUCCCUGUCAGCCAGCAUCCGGCCACACCCCAAUAAUGAGGAUUGUAGAUGGAGAAUGAGUAUGUGAGUGACUGUCCGGGCGGGUAUUCUGGUGAGAGAGUUACUGAAGGGGCGGGACUUCUGGUGAGUUUGUGAAGCAGUGACCCAUUUCCCAUGAUGCCCUUGGUGCAUUGUGUUUGAUUGACAGAGCAAGCUUCCCUCAAGUGCAUCACUUCCCAGUGCUAGGACACAGGACAU